UACGUAGGGUCCAAGCGUUAAUCGGAAUUACUGGGCGUAAAGCGUGCGCAGGCGGUUGUGCAAGACCGAUGUGAAAUCCCCGAGCUUAACUUGGGAAUUGCAUCGGUGACUGCACGGCUAGAGUGUGUCAGAGGGGGGUAGAAUUCCACGUGUAGCAGUGAAAUGCGUAGAGAUGUGGAGGAAUACCGAUGGCGAAGGCAGCCCCCUGGGAUAACACUGACGCUCAUGCACGAAAGCGUGGGGAGCAAACAGG
rnacentral:rRNA from 1 species